rnacentral:lncRNA from 1 species
GCGAAAACCAAAUGUCUUUGGACGACGACGACAAAGACGACGCCAACGUGAUACCAAUAUACGACCAAAAAAUUAUUGUGGUCGAAUAAAAAAACAUUUGUGGAAAAACAUUACAUUGAAUAUCAAAGAUCUAAAUUCCACACUAAAGUUUCUACAGACAAACCAGCAUUGAACUAUGACUAAAUACAUGAACUGAUGAGGCUUCAGAAUUGACAUGACACACCUUUUCCUGACUUGACACAGACAUCCCUGCUUGUGAUUUGACACAAGCACACUUGUUUUUGACUUUACACAGACACCCUUGCUUGUGAUAUGACACAGACACACUUGCUUGUGAUAUGACACAGACACGCCUGCUUGUGACAUGACAAUUAUUACAAAAAUUUUAGAAACUGCAAAAAACAAAAAUUGUUCAUUCAAAAUUCAAAUUUAGAAAAUACAAAUGUCACAUACAUUCAUAGUUGCAGUGGUGAGACUAAUAUAAUUAAAGGGAGACAAAUCAAUUUUAAAGUAUUACAAGGUUCUGCAGUUGUCUCCCUUUCCUAACAAUGUUUUGACAGCAACACAAUGAAUAUAAAUACAAAUAUUUGGCCCUGAAUGUUUAUUCUAUUGCACUUGACCCAAUAAUCUGACAUAAUGAAUAAAAAAUAAAAUACUGUUUCAACAUAAAAUUUACAGCUAAUCACAAUCUAAUUCAUCCUAUUUGUACAUGUAUAUAUAAUAUAUUAGUCAAACAUCAAAUAAUUAAAACUUUAAUGUUUUCGCAACAUCAUUUAGUUUAGCUACACAUAGAUAAGAACGUUAUAAGUUGUCCAUUUUUUUAUUGAUUGAUGCAUGCUUAAUGUCCAAGAAUUCCAUUUUGAUCAUUGGUAAUAUAUCAAUUGCAUAAGGGAACACAAGGACGAAGAUAGGAACUUCGAAGUACUAGAUUACACUGUAAAUACAGCUCUUUUACAAACCAUGCCUCUUUCAUGGAGAUAUAAAGUAAUCAUAGAUAUUUUAUUUUAUUAACCUUCUGCUUCUC